CGGGAUUGGGCGCCGAAAUGGGAUGCCGUGGGAGAGGCUCAUUCCUAAGGUGGAAAUGUUGACUACCACGGGGCCAUUAGGCACGGCGCAAGCCGGACUACCCUUGUGUAGGUUCUAUAUGAUUGGAACAAUAUUGAACUAAAAUGUAAUGUGGACAUUAGACUACUUAGUAAAUGUUGACAUUCUACUAGUGAACUUGUGGACAUCGUGCUAUUUAUAUAUAUAUGCUCAUUCAUGUUAGAAUAGCACUUAUACUUGUGGAGAUUCAUGCUAAGUAGAGGCAUAGUAGUUUAGUAAGUUUUAUUCUUGCUUAACAUACAUGUUAUUCAUUUCAUUAAAUGUUAGAUCAUACUACUUAAUGCCUCUAUAAUCUAGUGGUGUAUUUCGCUGAUGUCGGCGGCUUACCCACUGGGAACUAUUAAUUAAUAGUUCUCACGUCCUUUGCUUUGUUAUUUUUUAUUAUAGAGCCUUCCACUCCGGGUGAGGUUAGGGACCGCAGCAAGGGUAUUGCCUCUAGCUAGUUGUGAGGAGCUUCGCUAUUAGGUGGUUCACCCCUCUUUUUGUUUUAUUUAGAGAGGAUGAGAGUUUUUGUACCUAUGGAUAGAGACCACCAUUUUUGUAUAUCUAGCACUUGUAUUUGAGAUCUUAUGAUGUAUCUACUUGUGGAUCAUGAUAGUUGUUUAGUUCUUUUAUAUUCUACUUGUCAUUAGAAUUUAGUUGUGAUCAUGCUAUAAUGUCUCUAGAUGCUUGUUUAUUGUUUCUUUAAUUAGACGCCUUAUUGUUGUAGGCAUAUGGCAGGUCUGGACACGCAUCGGGUGGGCUUCCGCUGGGUCCCCGGGCGUCACAAUAUAUGGCCAAUUUGCAAAAAAAAUUUAUUAGUUUUCAGCUUUUGCAAAAGUAUGUCGCCUUUUUCGAUUUUGUAGGUUCGGGCCGAAUUUUCAGAAGACUUAUCAAAAUACCAUUAUUUUCUUUUCUCUCUCCUCUUUUUUUUUCUCUUAUUCUUUUUUUCUUUCUCCCCGAAUAGGGCGGUGGAAGCGGAAGCAGAGGCGGAGAUGGCCUGCCUCGCCUCUGACCCACGCACAUUUUCCCUCGCCCUCGCCCUCGCCUACGCACCCUCCCUCCCUCCGCCUUCCUCGCCUCCGACCCCACUGAGACCGCGCCUCAAUUGUCUUAUUUUUUUCUCUCCGAACCUCCUCCACCGCCUCCCCGGCACUUUACAACAGUAAAGAGAGUAGCGUCAUGUACUAUUUCUCUCUUUUUUUUUCUCUCGUUUCUUUUUUCUUUUCAACUACCCUCUACCGCCUCCGCGACCCUACACGAUAGUAAUGAAAACAGCGCCGCAUCCUCUUCCUCUGCCUUUGCCGGCGCACGCACUAACACCGGUGCCAGAGAAGAAAGACUCGGCCGAGCAAGUGCUGGUGAGAGCGGAGCCGAGAAAACAAUAUAGAAAAUAAAAAAAUAAAAAAAUAAUGAAUAAAAUAUAAAGAAAAAUAGUUAUUUUUACAAGAAAAUUAAAGAACCAGAGAGAAAAGAAGAAUAUGAUAAAUUUGCACUGUUUCAGGAGAUGAUAGGUUAUGGGGAACCCAAUGAUCUAUCUAGAUAUUAUCAAACACCUAGAGGGGGUGAAUGGGUGAAUAGGCCAAAAAUACAAUCUCGAUGCGAUAAAAAUAAAUGUGAAAAAUAAAAACCACACCGAGAUUUACGUAAAAAAACUCCAACUAGGAGUAAAAAAUCCACGGGAUCAACACGCGAUAACAAUCCAUUAAGAAAUAAAAGAUUAUAUGGUGAUUACUGAAUCUACGGGCUUAACCUCUCUUUUGACUCCUACGGAUCUCGCACACACCGCCGGGUUGUCCACACCCCACGUUCGAAUCCAUGAAUGUCACGUCUCGAUUCCACGAGACCCCUAACUUCAAAUCCACGAAACCUUGAUCAUGCUGAAUUAACGACGCCCAUAGGAAUCCACGAGUGCACUCUGUCGGGAGAAAGAAUAAUACGGUUGGUGAUGAUUUAUUUCUUAGAAUAUCAUUUUAGAUCUGUGGGAAUAAUCUUUAAGCAAUUCUCAAAUUGAUUUUAGAAGAUCAUCAAGAAUUAAGAUACCAAGAAUCAAUUUGAGAAAAACUUAUUGUAGAAGAUAAGAAGGACGACUACCUAUAAGCUUUUAGGGUUUCUAAAUAAUAAAAUAUACUUAAACACAGUUUAGAGAAAUCCCCCAUAUUUUAUUUAUAAGUUUGGAAGACAUUAGAAAUAGAUCAGGAUUGAAAAAAAACUAUAUCUGAAAAACUCGGUCAGGUUCAGGUUCUGGACCUUACACUAGGUUCCAGAACUUGAAGUUUUGGAACUUGAACCAAGUUCCGGAAUCCCCCAGCGUAUCUGCCAAGAGGGUAUACGGGUUCCAGAACUUGAAUCCAGGUUCCAUAACUUGAAUCCAGGUUCCAGAAUCUCCAUGCGUGACAACCAGGGAACCUUACGGGUUCCGGAACUUACUUUCAGAUUCCGCAAUCUAAACCUAUGAAACUUCUAGUUUUGAAUAUUUAUUAAUUUAUACCUAUUUUAAUAUCCUCCAAACAAAUGUAAAUGAUCAUAAAUCAUCAUCAAUAUAUUUAAACUUACCGAGUAUUUUGGAUUCAUGUUUGAGUCUUUGUGUCUUCGAUUUUCGUCUUUUCUUCUUUGAACCUUCAAGACUCCAACUUACUUCACGAAAUAUGCCAACUAAAAUCCGUAACAAUCUCCCCCUUUGGCAAUUUCAUGAUAAAACUUAAAAUUAUAUCUGUCACGCCCUGCGACCGCUAAUUUGGUCGGUUCAGGUACGUAGACUAGACGCUGAACGGACAGAGCCUCCCCUGUCCGCCUAAGGCUAAACAACAGCAAUCAUGUACAAUAAGUUGCCAGGUAAACUUAAACAACAUACAUGAAGCAUUGCGAGUACUAACAUGAGCAAACGAGCGAGAGAGAAAGUUCUAGCUAUUACAUUUCAUUCAACCAUUUACAUAAUCGAUUUACAUUUUCGUCUCCCAAAAAUGUAUACAAGUUCUGCUCUCCAAAAGGUAUCCUCACUAAUAUACAUCAUCUACUACACAUGUACACGAGGGUACUCUAAUGCAAAAGGAAAGCUGCUAGCUACUAGGGCGCUAUGCCCUUACCGCAGUCCUCGUCCGGUCCGCUCAAACUCGGCCCUGCAACAAAGUGGGGUGAGAACUACGAAUAGUUCCCAAUGGGUUCGGCCGCCGACUCCGCCAAUCUUCCCACUAGGUCUAAGCAGGCAUAAGUAGAUAGAUAGAUAUAUAAAAAUGAGCUACUACAAAGUAAGAAAAUCUGCAACAUGCUAUUAUGCCUCAAUAAAUAGAAUGAAUGUAUGAACAUAGUAAUGUACUCUACUAACAUGAUACUAUGUCUCAAUCUGCAUGAUAUAAAGAAAAUAUCUAUAUAGCAAUGAAAUCUACUAUCAAAUACUAUAUCUGUUAUCCAAUCUCAUCUCGGCUAACUCGAAGGUUACGCCCAAACUCACAUCUCAAAUCUCGUAGGUGAAGAGACUCUGCGCUACACACACCCAAGACCGCCUGCUGGGUAAUCAAGUUACCCAAACGUGACUACUACUCCGGAGCUCACUACUUGGGUGGAGCGACCACACCAAGGUUAAACAGACUAUAUGAGUAUGAUCCAAUCCUCUCACUCGAGGAUACCCUAUCUACUAGGGUUAGUGCACCUGCCGCACUAGUUCCAAUGCACAACUCGAUAAUUGGAAAAUCUACUAUCCCUAGGUUCAUAUCAUAGUGUUUCUCCUACACUAGAUUUGAAUGCCACUCGUUCAUGUCAUCAAGUUAUAAGUGUCUCAACUACACUAGUUUACAUGCCACUCGUUCAUGUUAUAAGUGCCUCUACUACACUAAUUCACAUGUCACUUGUUCUCGUCUUCACAAGUUCAAGUUCACAAUCAUUAUAGGAUUCUAUGUCACAAAACCUAAUCCUCAUGCAUCCUAAGUCCAGGUGUCAAGCUCACAAUGCUACACUACUCAGAAGGCAUGCAAGGAAAUAGAAAUGCAACCAUCUUGUAGCACACUGGACCUUCGCAAAUUGCGAGGUUCGAGUGUUCGAUUUGUAUUCCGAACUUUUCCACACUUGGUGGAGGGCCGUUGAUGGUAUACCGGCCUAAAAGUUCGAUCUCGAGAGUUUUGGCUGAGUCCUGAGAGUUUUUACUCUCGGGGACCGGUCCCUGAUAGGAGAGACCGGUCCCCCCAGUGAACAGUGCUGCGUAGCCGGCAAGGCAACCGGUCCCUGGCAGUCGAGACCGGUCCCCGAGCGCUGUCUGCCGGGGGAGCGCCGUCCGCGCAGGAGAGACUGGGUUCCCGAAGUUGGAUUUCGGGGGCAGCUGAGAGACCGUCCCAGGUCGGAGACGGUCCCUGGCGGAAAACUGCCUACGGGGCUGAUGUGAUUUUGAUUUGAGGGCUUAUUAGAUUUUGUUACUUUAGAGCCUAUAGAGAGCCCUUCUUCUCUCUCUUCCCGCUCACUUUCUCUCACCCUUUGCAUUUCUUAGAGUCAGAAGAAGAAGAGAGGGGAAGAGAGAAGAAGACAAUAGAGAGGAGCAAGAGACUUGCAUUAGAUGCUUGAUGCAUUCUUCCUUCCCCACUUUCUCCACUCUUGGUAGCUUGAAUUGCGUUGAGCUUGUGGGAGGAUAACACUUCAACCUCUACUUGGUUUUGAGCUUGGAUUGGAGCUUCUCUUGAAGUUGGUAGCUCUGGUAAUCCCCAUUUGAACAUUUUUUCUAGGUUACUAGAUAAACCACUAGAUUUGAAUUUAGGUUUAAUUUGGGGGUUUUUGUAUUGAGGGUUGAGAACCUAAUUGAUGCGUUUGGACUUAAUUUAGGUUGAUUUGAAUAAACUCUAACUCAUUUGGAGCUAGAGAUGAAAUAUUCUCACCUAGAUGUGAGUUUUCUCAUCUUAACCUCUGUUGCUUAUUCGAUUGAGUUUUAGGGUUUAAUCGUAAGUCUUCGUUAACCUUGUUCCUCAUCUUUACGGGGCCUAUGGAAGGUAGUGGGCAUCAUUCGUCGAGAGCUUGCGAAGAGUUGCAAGUUUGUGUGGUUUGGCUCGAGGAAAUGGGGCAAUGGCUCCUAUGUCUUCCCUACUUGUUGUAAAAUUAUCUUAUUAAAAUUCAAUUUCUAUGUAAAUGAAUUUAUUAGAAUUUUAGAGCAUUAAUUCAUGCCUUAUAUAUUAUGAAAAUUCACCUAUAUAGUUCAGACAUAUGAGUAGAAGCAUCAUCACGAGAAAAGGUUUAAUUUUUGCAAGUGAAACAUCUCAUUAUAAGGAUUAAACUUGAAAAAUGUACUUUGAAAUUAUACGUGCCAUGCUUUACACAUAGAGAACAGAUGUCAUAAAGGGGCACUUGCAAAUAGUAAACUAUGAAACGCAACGUAGCAGACAUAUUGGUAGGCCACCAACUAUCUGCUAUAUUCAUUGUUAAGACAAUGACGAAUAGGGAAUAGGCCUAUGAGAUUCGUGUAUAAUAUUAUAUUCCAAUGUACUUAGCGUGAGGACUGUACUUGUGAUAGAUGUCUUUGACUACUUGCCAUUGUGGCUCAUAUCGCACGAUGCUUGUGCGGGUCCUCCUACAACGCGAUCCGAGAUGGCCAUCGCGAUUCAUAUCGCCGUGCGAUUGGUGCGCCGAAAGUGGAUUGUCCGUGACAGGCUCAUUCCUAAGGUGGGGAUGAUGACUACCACGGGGCCAUUAGGCUCGGCACCGGCCAGACAGCCUACGGGUGGGUCUCAGGGCCAUAGACAGCCUUCGGGUGGGUCUCUUCAGAUUUGACUUUGAGUAUUCAUUAUGACAUGCGGACAGAUGAUGACUUAGUGU
rnacentral:lncRNA from 1 species